rnacentral:lncRNA from 1 species
AGUCUCUAUAGAAGAAUAUUUUCCUGUAACUGUAAACCAUUUUUAUUCCCCUGAAGAACUGUAAAUUUGCAAAGGUUUCUAUUCUCUCGUUUGUAUAGAUCCAAGAUACAAACAGAAGAUGAAAAGCAGUUAUGAGUUGCAUCUCCAUAGGGUGCUGCCCCCAAAACCCAUGGUUGGGAUUAAUUCUUUUCUACAUCAGGACAGCCACAAAAGUGUCCUUAGAGAGACCACCUUGCUGACAAACUUGUAGAAUAUGCAGCACCCUGCUUCCAGUUCUGAGCAGAUGAAGGUGUCUUCUUAUGCACAAAAGACAGACUGUUUGCAGAUUUGGUGCAGAGGAGCGGCAUGGACUCAUCUGGACUGGAUGAGUGCAGAAUGGUGCAGAGAAGAAAUAUGUGGGCAACCAGCAAAGCAGCAGCAGAACAAACUUUCUAGAUCUGUUCUCUUUUUUUUUCCUUGGAGGCCAGAUAUGGCACCUAGAGAGAAGACAAAUCCAGUAGACAACUGGUACACUUUGGAUAGUGCAAUGAAUUUGAUUAAUAAUGGACAUGACGUGUAGAUAUAAUGAAGUGAUAAUCUAUCUGCAUCUGUGGAAAUGAAAUAAAUGAGCCUGAAAAAUGUGAAGACA